rnacentral:rRNA from 1 species
AUUGAACGCUGGCGGCAUGCCUUACACAUGCAAGUCGAACGGCAGCACGGGUGCUUGCACCUGGUGGCGAGUGGCGAACGGGUGAGUAAUACAUCGGAACAUGUCCUGUAGUGGGGGAUAGCCCGGCGAAAGCCGGAUUAAUACCGCAUACGAUCUACGGAUGAGAGCGGGGGACCUUCGGGCCUCGCGCGCUCGGGUUGGCCGAUGGCUGAUUAGCUAGUUGGUGGGGUAAAGGCCUACCAAGGCGACGAUCAGUAGCUGGUCUGAGAGGACGACCAGCCACACUGGGACUGAGACACGGCCCAGACUCCUACGGGAGGCAGCAGUGGGGAAUUUUGGACAAUGGGCGAAAGCCUGAUCCAGCAAUGCCGCGUGUGUGAAGAAGGCCUUCGGGUUGUAAAGCACUUUUGUCCGGAAAGAAAUCCUUGGCCCUAAUACGGUCGGGGGAUGACGGUACCGGAAGAAUAAGCACCGGCUAACUACGUG